rnacentral:rRNA from 1 species
CUGGUUGAUCCUGCCAGUAGUCAUAUGCUUGUCUCAAAGAUUAAGCCAUGCAUGUCUAAGUAUAAGUUCUGUACUGCGAAACUGUGAAUGGCUCAUUAUAACAGUUAUUAUUCCCUGGCCGGUCAGUGAUUCCUUGGAUACCCAUGGUAAUUCUAGAGCUAAUACAUGCUUAAAAACCCGACUUCUUGAAGGGUUGCGCUUAUUAGAUACCGAACCAACCCAGGCUCUGCCUGGUUUUCGUUGAUUCAUAGUGUUCUGGCGAAUCGACUCGCAAGAGUCGAUGAGGCUAUCAAGUUUCUGACCUAUCAGCUUCCGACGGUAGGAUAUUGGCCUACCGUGGCUUUGACGGGUAACGGAGAAUUAGGGUUCGAUUCCGGAGAGGGAGCCUGAGAAACGGCUACCAUAUCUAAGGAAGGCAGCAGGCGCGUAAAUUACCCAAUCCUGACACAGGGAGGUAGUGACAAGAAAUAUCAAUAUAAGACGUUUCUGUCUUGUAAUUGGGAUGAGCGAAACAUAAACCGCUUCUCGAGUAUCAAUUGGAGGGCAAGUCUGGU